rnacentral:rRNA from 1 species
UACGAAGGGAGCUAGCGUUGUUCGGAAUCACUGGGCGUAAAGCGCACGUAGGCGGAUGUGUCAGUCAGGGGGUGAAAUCCCGGAGCUCAACUUCGGAACUGCCUCUGAUACAGCACGUCUUGAGUCCGAUAGAGGUGGGUGGAAUUCCUAGUGUAGAGGUGAAAUUCGUAGAUAUUAGGAAGAACACCGGUGGCGAAGGCGGCCCACUGGAUCGGUACUGACGCUGAGGAGCGAAAGCGUGGGGAGCAAACAGG